rnacentral:tRNA from 1 species
GAGGGCACAGCUCAGUGGUAGAGUGCCUGCUUAGCAUGUGUGAGGUCCUGGGUUCAAUCCCCAGUACCUCUA